rnacentral:SRP_RNA from 1 species
GCUGGGCAUGGUGGCGCAUGCCUGUAGUCCCAGCUACGCAGGAGGCUGAGGCAGGAGAAUUGCUUGAAUCUGGGAGGUGGAGGUUGCAGUGAGCCAAGAUCAUGCCACUGCACUCCAGCCUGGGUGACAGAGCUAGACUCUGUCUCAA